CUGUGAAUCCAAGUAAAUGGAAAAAACUUUUAACUGAUGGUAACACCAUUUGAAAAAGCAUGACUUUAAAGCAUGAAUUUUGCCAUUUCAGGCAAUCUUUAUCAUUACAUAUGCCUAACCAUUACAGAUCCAAAGAACUGAAGUUUCACUUAACAAAAAUCCAAGUCCACCCCAGCUCCCCCCUGGAUCUGGCCCUGAAGUGAAGUGAUACUCCUACCUAUACUUCAUCUUUCUCAGACAUGUUCCUCAGAAAAACAUAUUAUAAAUGUAACUUUAAAGUCUACAAGGUUUCUCCAUUGGUCCAUACCCUUCAAAGAAACCAUCUUCAUACAGACUUACCUAUACAGUAGCUGCUGCAGCAGCUUUUUUCUACCUUCGCAUGUGAAUGUGCCUGAGCUCAGCCAGUGAGAAAAGGACCAAAACUCAUGCUGCCACACUGACACAGAAUCACUCGCAAAUCACAAUCAGCAAGGUCACUUCUUCUGUGCUUUGACAAGGUUUGGCUAACAUCAAGUCAAGCAAAGACUCUUUUCACUUCCCUGACAGAUGACCAUUUCUUUAUGCGACUGCAGCUCUUCAAAGCAAUGUAAAUAUCAAACAGAAUGUCCACCUUGGAGGAUGCAGCCUUUGUAAACAGAUAAAAGAAGAUCUGGCGCACAUAGAAGAGAUAGAAUAGCGAAGAACUCACAAAUUUUGAUUACUUCAGUCCUUCUUUGACAGGGGCUGAAAUCACAGUGAAAUUGCAUUGGACGAGAUGUGAGUGAUUGUGGCAGGGUGAAGAGGCUGAUCCCGUCCAUGACUCCAGUUCUGAUUGCCUUGUGUCAACUACCAUUUCAGGUAUCCUUGAGAAGAAAACAGUCUGAAGUCCUUCAAUUAACUUUUCAGUUCCAAUGUGUAUUUAAACAGCAAAUAAAUAAAUAAAGUUACU